AUAGCGUAUAGUACUGUGAAGGAAAGGUGAAAAGCACCCCGGGAGGGGAGUGAAAAAGAACCUGAAACCCUGUGCCUACAAGCACCUAGAGCACGUCAAAGUGUGAUAGGGUACUUUUUGUAGAACGGUCCGGCGAGCGAUUGUAUGCAGCAAGGUUAAGGACUUAAGGUCUGGAGCCGAAGCGAAAGCGAGUUUGAAAAGGGCGUUAAGUUGCAUACAAUGGGCCCGAAACCGGGUGACCUACCCAUGGUCAGGUUGAAGUGGAAGUAAAAUUCCAUGGAGGACCGAACCGACCUCCGUUGAAAAGGCGGCGGAUGAACUGUGGGUAGCGGAGAAAUUCCAAUCGAACCCGGAGAUAGCUGGUUCUCCCCGAAAUAGUUUUAGGACUAGCCUCAAGUUAGAUACCUGGAGGUAAAGCACUGAAUAGCCUAGCGGCCGAGAGGUUAGCGAAGCUUAUCAAACUCAGAAUGCCAGAGUAUUGAUGCUUGGGAGUCAGACAGUGUCAGAUAAAUGUCAUUGUCAAAAGGGAAACAGCCCAGAUCUACAGCUAAGGUCCCAAAGUCAGGUUAAGUGGAAAACGAUGUGAAGAUACGCAGACAACCAGGAUGUUGGCUCAGAAGCAGCCACUCAUUCAAAGAGUGCGUAAUAGCUCACUGGUCGAGCGUCUUUGCGCGGAGAAUUUAACGGGGCUAAACCUGACACCGAAGCUUAGGCAAUCCAGUAAUGGAUUGGGUAGGGGAGCGUUGUAUACGCGGAGAAACAGUAGCGUAAGCGGCUGUGGAGUGUAUAGAAGUGAGAAUGCCGGAAUGAGUAGCGCGAAUGCAGUGAGAAUCUGCAUGGCCGAAAGCCUCAGGUUUUUGGAGGAAGGUUCGUCCGCUCCAAGUUAGUCGGGAGCUAAGGUGAGGCCGAAAGGCGUAGCCGAUGCACAGACGGUAGAGAUUCCGUCACCACCAAAAGAGUUAAGCACAGGGACACAUUUGAAGUCUCAGAGCCGGGUGUUGGUUCCGGUAGAGAUCGAGGGAAGUUAGUACCGAAGUCUGGGAUGGAAGAUGGCGAGAAAAGCUGUGUGGAUUUCUGAGGUGCCCGUACCGCAAACCGACACAGGUAGGUAGGAAGAAGAUUCUAAGGCCAACGGGAGAAGGGUUGUUAAGGAACUCGGCAAAUUGACCCCGUAACUUCGGGAGAAGGGGUGCUCCAGAGAUGGAGCCGCAGAGAAUCGGCCCAAGCAACUGUUUACCAAAAACACAGGUUUGUGCUAAAUCGAAAGAUGACGUAUACGAGCUGACGCCUGCCCGGUGCUGGAAGGUUAAAAGGAGAUGUGCAAGCAUUGAAUUGAAGCCCCAGUGAACGGCGGCCGUAACUAUAACGGUCCUAAGGUAGCGAAAUUCCUUGUCAGGUAAGUUCUGACCCGCAUGAAAGGCGUAAUGAUUUGGGCACUGUCUCAACAGCCCGCCCGGCGAAAUUGUAGUACCGGUGAAGAUGCCG
rnacentral:rRNA from 1 species